GUAGGCUGAAACUACGCCUACAUGAAGCUGGAGUUGCUAGUAAUCGCGAAUCAGCAUGUCGCGGUGAAUACGUUCCCGGGCCUUGUACACACCGCCCGUCACACCAUGAGAGUUGGCAAUACCCAACGUACGUGAUCUAACCCGCAAGGGAGGAAGCGUCCUAAGGUAGGGUCAGCGAUUGGGGUGAAGUCGUAACAAGGUACC
rnacentral:rRNA from 1 species